CCUUUCCCCACCUCAACUCCUCAGACCUACAAAAGUAAAAUGAAAGAAUGGAAGUAUAUUCAUCAUUAAGGAGAUCAUCUACGUUCCAGUUAUUUUUUCAGUAGAAAGUUAAAAAAACCUGCCAAUUAGGAUGUCUCCACCUAACACGGACUACCUCAAAAAGCUGAGUCAGUUUUCCUGGAGCGUGUUCUCAUUUGUUUAACUUUGAGCAACAGUGGCCACACCGCUUCCUCAACAGUAGCAGGAAGGAUGAAGGGACAAAAAAGGAUACAACUUCUAAGGACUCUUGUGAAGGCACACCCACCACUUGUCCCAACAUCCCACCAGCCAGAAUUUGGUCACGUGGCUACAUCUAGCUGCAGAGAAGACUGAGAAAUGUAGUCUUUUUCUCCCCCCAUGUUCAUUUGUUCAGCUAAAAAUCAGGCUGCCAGAGAGCACUGAAGAGAGUUCCCUGUGCUAUACAGUAGCUCCUUUCCAGACAACAACUGUCUUGAGAAGAUACACAGAAGGGAAUUCAGGUAUACUAACUUUUGCAAAUAAAUAAAUCCAAGUUAGGGAGAAAUAAAUCCAAGUGAGGCAGAAAUGUGUGGCUUUGAGCAAUGCCAUUCCAGGUAGAUCAGAAAGGUCUGGGUGUAUUAUUCAUGACUGCUGGUCUCAAGAGACAGAAACUCAAUCCUGAGUAGUUUAAGUAAGAAGGCAAUUGUGUUGGCUUGUGUAACCUGGAAAGACAGUGGUGUGGCUGGCCUGAGGCAGGACAUGGUCCAGGGGUGCAAAAGGACAGCAUCAGAUCAGUGGCUCGCUCUCUCCUGUUUCUGCUCCUCUCUGCUGUUGGCCUCAUGAAUUUCCACCACAGGUGCGUGUCCCUCAUGCAGAGCCUGGCAGCUAGGAAGUCCAAGCCCACGUCACCCAGUGUGAGGAUUCCCAAAGCUUCCCUCGUAGCUCAGUUGCUAAAGAAUCUGCCUGCCCUGCAGGAGACCCAGGUUCAAUUCCUGGGUCAGGAAGAUCCUGUGGAGAAGGAAAUGGCAACCCACUCUAGUAUUCUUGCUGGAGAAUUCCAUGGACAGAGGAGACCAGCAGGCUAUAGUCCACAGAGUCACAAAAGUCGGACACGACUUAGUGACGAAACCACUAAAGCAAAAUAACUCUAACUGAGGGUGAAAAAUCCCAGGGAAUGAUCAUAUUAGUCUGGUUGGUGUCAUUUCCCACACCCACCCUGGAAGCAGGUGGGUUAAUGAUCGGCCUGGGCUAGGUCAUGCGCCUGUCCUUGUAACCGAACCCCAGUAGAUCCCAUCAAAGGAGAGGAGGUAGAAAGAGUGGGGAGGGGCAGUGGCUGAAAUGAAUUCGGAGCAGAAAAAAAUUUGCCACUUUUGUUCAGGGAACAAAAUUUGGAACAGGGGCCUUGUUCUUGCCAAGAGUAUUAGGAGCCAAAUUAAGAGAUGGGGCCACGGACUCCCCUGGUAGUCCAGUGGCUAAGCCUCCAUGGGCCCAAA